rnacentral:tRNA from 1 species
AAAAAAUUAGUUAAACCAAAUAACAUUAGUAUGUCAAACUAAAAUUAUCCAAUCUAUAGAUAUUUUUUG